GAUCUCCGGGUACCCCUUGAGCGCCACCGACACGUCCUCCAUCUCCGUGAUGGACUCGUCGCGGUCGCCGAUCUCGUACAGCACCACCGCCCGCCCCACCCGCGCGUACUCCGACAGCGCCAGGUCCUUGUACCCGCUCACCACCGCCGUGAAGGACGCCAGCGCCCCCGCGAACUCGCCGCGCGCCUGCAGCUCCCGCCCGGCGUCGAGCAGCCGGACCGCCUCCCCGACGCGCUGCGACACGGCCUCGCUCGCCGCGCGCUCCGCCUCCGUCACCGGGUCGUAGUCGAGGCCGGCCGCGGACGCCGCUCCCCUGCUAGCGUUGUUGUUGUUGCCCGCGGCGGCCACGAGGAACAGGCCGCCAGCGGACGCGAGCAGCUGCCUCCUCGUCCUCGUUGAGGCGGAUGGCGGCGAGGGGAUGACGGGUGGCCGUUGAAGCGGCGUCUCUCCGGUGGAGACGGACC
rnacentral:lncRNA from 1 species